UUUGGUUUAGAGUUUAAUUUAGGAUUAGGAUUUGAUUAGGAUUUGAUUUAAGAUUAGGAUCUAGUUUAGGAUUUAGAGUUUGAUUAAGGUUUGAUUUAGGAUUAAGAUUUGGUUAGGAUUUGAUUAGGAUUUGAUUAGGAUUUGAUUUAGGAUUAGGAUUUGAUUAGGAUUUGAUUUAGGAUUAGAAUUUGGUUUAGGAUUUAAGAUUUGAUUAAGAUUUGGUCAAGAUUUGAUUUAGGGUUUAGGUAUUUUAUUUGCGUUUGUUUAAGAAUAAAGAUUUACUUGAUUUUUGGCCUAAAGUUUGAAUGAAGUCCAAUAGGAUUUCAACUAGAAUUAAAUUAAGGUUGAAUUGAGAUGUAUUUGAGAUAUGUUUGUAAUCAUUCU
rnacentral:lncRNA from 1 species